GAAAUAAAUCUGAUGAGUUGCUGCUGGUUCUCUAGGGAGCAUGUGCACACUUGUCAUCUUUAUAUCUCCACCUGUGCACCUUUUGUAGACCUGGAUAUCUCUCUGAAUGCUAGUCAUUCAGGUUUGAGGAUUGACUUUAUGUCUCUCCUUACAUUUCCAGGCCUAUGUUCUUCAUAUACCCCAAUGUAUGUUAUAGAAUGUAAUCAAUGGCCUUUGUGCCUAUAAACCUAUACAACUUUCAGCAACGGAUCUCUUGGCUCU
rnacentral:misc_RNA from 1 species